CAGUAGCCGCGGGAAUACGAAGGGUGCAAGCGUUAAUCGGAAUUACUGGGCGUAAAGCGUGCGUAGGCGGUUUGUUAAGUCUGUUGUGAAAUCCCCGGGCUCAACCUGGGAAUGGCAAUGGAUACUGGCAAGCUAGAGUGUGUCAGAGGAUGGUGGAAUUCCCGGUGUAGCGGUGAAAUGCGUAGAGAUCUGGAGGAAUACCGGUGGCGAAGGCGGCCCCCUGGACAAAGACUGACGCUCAGGUGCGAAAGCGUGGGGAGCAAACAGGAUUAGAUACCCCAGUAGUCCCUGUCUCUUAUAC
rnacentral:rRNA from 1 species